rnacentral:lncRNA from 1 species
AUUAAUAUAAGACCAAUAAUAGAAUUAGAGAUGAAAGAAGUUUUUUUAAUGUCGCGGUUCCUCAGUUAGAACUAAGUAUACAGAAAUACUAAUAUAAUAUAUUUAAAAGGUAUUUUUUUUACUAAUAUAACAUGAAUAUGAAAUGAUACAAUAACGUAAAGGUUAAAAAUGGUUUCAUAAAUUGCAGAGAUAUAAUUGUAUAAUAUAAUUAAUUAAAGGAGUUCCUAGAAGUGGCCACGUGGAUGUGUGCAUAAAGAAUGUGGCGUGUGGGUCUCGUCUUUCGAUCACGGCCCAAUUCAAUUCUAACCCACUUCAUGGGGUUUAGGGGAUNGGGGUUUUAUAAAAGCCCACUCCGAGGUGGGUAAAAAAAAAUGAGCUUAUUAUAAAGAAGGUCGAUUAAAAUAAAAAUUGACAGCUCUAUAUUCAGGAAUGGGUAGAAAGAGCGAGAGAGCAAGCAGCAUGAGUGGCGGAGGAGAAGGAGAGAGUCUGGAGUUCACUCCCACGAAGGAAGCGUCGCCGACGCGGAAGAGGUCUCGAAGAAGGGUGGUUGGAGAAUCCUCUCUUGAAGAUUAAAGAAGGUUUCUUUUUCUUUUCUUUUCUUUUCUUUUCUCUUCCUGAGUUCUAUACUCCCUUUUUCAUCAUCAACUCAAUAAGCAGCAUGAGUGGCGGAGGAGAAGGAGAGAGUCUGGAGUUUACUCCCACNAAGGAAGCGUCGCCGGCGCGGAUGAGGUCUUGAAGAAGCGGGUGGUUGGAGAAUCCUCUCUUGAAGGUUAAAGAAGGGUUCUUUUUCUUUUCUUUUCUCUUUUUUAUUUUAUUUUAUUUUCUUUUCCCUUCCUGGGUUCUAUGCUCCCUUUCCCAUCAUCAACUCAAUUAUUUUCUUUUUUUUUUUCUCUUUCCCCGCUUUUCUCUGUUCAUGCUAUCACUCUCUUUCUAUAUUCGGAUUCGUCAAUGGAAACACUGGGAAGAUUCAAUUGCAAAAAAGAAAUACGAAACCGACCAAGGUACAUUAUUUCUUUUCUUUUCUUUCUUCAAUUCUUUCUUUCUGCAUCCUCCUCUAUCCAUCUUCAAUUACUUUUAUCAUUCCUCUGCAUUUUUUUUUAUUGUUGAUAAAUAUAACAUGCUUUAUGCUUUUGGUAUCGCCUCAUUUUACUGUGUCAACUAAAGCAUCACACCUUUGCAAAGAAUUUUCUAGUUGUUUUUGAAUCUUUUUAUUUCCUCGCNGGGAGCAGCGUUGGACUUUUAGUACAAAUGCCAAUGUAAUCGCUUACAACAUGACCGUAAUCGAUUAGAAUUGCAAACACUAAAUACAGACCUGGUAAAUAACAAAGUCAUUAGCAACAGCACAUUGGGAAGCCCUUCUCUAGCAGGGGCAGGGAGCAGCGUUGGACUUUUUGUACAAAUGCCA